rnacentral:tRNA from 1 species
UGCCCGGUGGUGUAACGGUAACACACGUGGCUCUGGACCACGGUUUCCUGGUUCGAAUCCAGGCUGGGCAGCCA